rnacentral:tRNA from 1 species
GGGGAAAUAGCUCAAUUGACAGAGCACUGGACUUUUAUGCCAGUUUGAUCCCCAACACUGUGUGUACUGUAGUGAUGCCCUAAGUUUGUCUCUUUCUCCC